AAUGUCAUCAGAGGAGAGAUAUAUCAUAUUCUAAUAUAAUGAAAAAAAUAAAUAAAAAGAAAAAGAAACAAUAAAGGACUACUGGGACGUUCUCGAGCUAUUUUAUAGCUUCGUUUAUUGCGACUAUCGCGAUUAUUGCGCCAUCGAUCGGGAGAAUACGGUAAACUCGCCAUUGGCGAGUCGUGAUAAUUACGAAGGAUACAUUUCAGGAAAAGAGUUGAGUGUGGUUAAGCUCUGGUGGAUGUUGAUGAGUUUUUCGAGAGUUUUGGAGAUGAAAUAUUCGAGUGCUUUCCGGAAUUAAGCGCGCUUUCUUUGCGGUCGGUUACAAAGUGUUGGAGUUAGGUUAGGUUCAAUUCUGCGUUUCUUAAACUAGAAUGUUUUUUGCGAGAGCAAAUUUCUCGUCGAAUAUUCUUCUCAGAAAAUUAUUAUAUUCACAAAUUUAUAUUUCAGAAAAGAAAGAAACGCAAAUGUCACGCUUCCCAGAGAGAGAGAGUACACUUCUCCCUAAACACAUAGAAAGAUACUCUUGUUCCGCGCAAAACAGCGCCAGGUCAACGACACUUUAACUGAUCUCAAUUCCGUAUAACCAAGAGCUAAUUGUAUCAAAGUAGGGAGGAGAAACGGCAAAGUGGAAAACGUUUCCACGUAACUCGAUCAACGUCAAGGUGUCCACCCAUGUUACCGCGUCUACGACCAGUCUGACCACUUAUCGACAUCUGUAAAUGCACCUUGAACGGGUCCAACGACGACUUUAUCCAUCGUUGUUGAUUCACCGCCAGUUAUCGAUAAAUUAACGCGGCGUAAACUUGACGCGUUAUCGUGCGUUGGCCACGCCUCUCUCCCUUUCUAUACCGAAAACGGGAGAGAUCGUGGGAUGGACGUGUAUUGCAACCGAUAACGAUAACGAUGCAUCGCCGACCAUGGUUGCGGAAAACGAUCGCCCACAGUUUUCCAGUUUUCGUUUGUUUAAAAUCAAACGUAUAACAUCGAAGUAAACGUUUGGUAGAGCAUCGAUAUGGAAGAUGGUGCACAAGAAACUGGCAGUGAAGUUCCGGGUGAAACGAACGCUUUGCAUGCGUGUAUCAGCCUUCCCCAUAAAGCUUAAUUGCGAUUGAAGGUCUUCGGCAUAACCCAGACAUGGAUUAAGGUGCAACCAUAGAAGCAUACACGUUACAAAGUGCCGGUUACCGGUUUGAAGCGUUUAUUAAUGCAAUAACG